rnacentral:rRNA from 1 species
UUAGUGGCGGACGGGUGAGUAACGCGUGGAAAACCUGCCGUAUACUGGGGGAUAACACUUAGAAAUAGGUGCUAAUACCGCAUAAGCGCACAGCUUCGCAUGAAGCGGUGUGAAAAACUCUGGUGGUAUACGAUGGUUCCGCGUCUGAUUAGUUAGUUGGUGGGGUAAUGGCCUACCAAGGCAACGAUCAGUAGCCGGCCUGAGAGGGUGAACGGCCACAUUGGGACUGAGACACGGCCCAAACUCCUACGGAAGGCAGCAG